rnacentral:lncRNA from 1 species
GUGCAUAGUGAAAAUACAUAAUACUAAUGUUCACGGUGCAUGAUGGAUAAUAAAAGUACAUCGUACCAUAUCAAGAUGCACACUGCAUAUUAAAAAUGUAUCGUAUUUAAACGCAUAAUAAAAAAUAAAGGAUGGAAACACACUAUAUAUAUGAUUGGGAGCCACUAAAAUUCGAAAAUGUAUUCUUUCGCGAGCGAAUGUAUAUAAUUUCCUUACCGUGCCUGCAAAUAGUCCACAAGUCAGAGCACAGAAGGAACAAAUUCCCUCUCAUCUCCACCAUUUUUUCUGUCAACAGAGAAAUUCCAAGUAAACACCAAAGCUUCGAAAUUCAAUCUCAUCCAGUCAAAUCUCUCUCACUUCCACUCUUUCUCUCCCUCCACCACAAUGUCACCGCCGUUACUUCCACCACCGCCACCGCUCCUC